CUGGGCUGCGAUAUGGUUCUUUAUAACCCCAUUUCCUAUCUGAGUUAUGACCACUUUACUAAAUCUGCUGUCACUGUCUCUUUUUCUUUUUUCUUUCCCUUUUUUUCCCCUUCCUCUAAUAACUUCCAUAUGGAUCUACUGAGCCGCCGUGAACUGUCAUCUAUCCCUUGCCCUCUUUACUCCCCCUCCCCUUUCCCUGUUAAGUUUUUCCAUUGGCCAGCACAGGUGAUGUAUCCGCCCUAUUGGGCGGUCUUCAUGCCGACCCAACAGUGUAUUAUGCGUGACGCUGCUCAAGAAUGUCAUCGCAGCCCACGUGGGGGACGAUCAUGUGAUGCAGCGUUGUCUGCACUGUGUAUGGCACCACAUUGUGCCUCUGCUUCGCUCUCCUAGCUCCCCUAUUGGGCGCCGUCCCUGCUAUGCCCGCCCCCUAUAUCCAAUCACCUCUCACUACAUUGCGUCCGACGCCGGGUCACGUGAUGGACGUUCGGAUAUGACGUCAUCACCGACGCGACGGACUUCGCUGUUCCAGCUGACACAGCUUCUGAUAAUCAGGUAGGGUACUAUAAAUCUGCCAAAUUGUAACAUAUAGAUGUAUCAGCGUCAUCGUAUUACUGGGGACACACGUGGAUUUAGGUGCGGUCUAGGCUACAGGUAUACAGAUUAUCACUCUAUUAUAUGGGUCUCAAUACAGGGCCUUAAAUGCCAUUAAUGACUUUUUGUCAUUUAUAUUGUAGACUUAUUCUUUCAUAUAUUUGUUCUAAUUUUAGGAUUCUGUUUUGGCAGCAUCAUAUAAUAUCCUCUGGCACUUUUACCUAGGAUCCAAAGACUGCCUUAUUGGAUGUUUUCAUCUACCCUAUUUAGCCUAGUACAUUGAGCACUCAAAUACCGCACGUGCAGAUCCCCAUAUCCGAUUUUAAGUGCUUACCAGCACCUGACUGCUUGAUCACCCUCUUUUAUAUUUCUUUAUGUGUUUUUUGAUAUUAUCCCCACGUUAGGCUGGUUUGACAGACUCUGUCCGCUCAGCCACUGUGGGGUUAGGACACCACUGUCGCUUGUUUACCCCCAAUGCGACUUACUUUAUGCAAUAUCUUAUGCUCCUGAGGAAGCGCUAACGCGCGUAACAUGUAGAGCAAGGCCUCCACUAAACCUCCGGAAAUACCACAUGGGAUACACAACUCUACAUUAUACUUGUAACUGUGCUUGUUAGAUAAGCUUGUAUAUAAUAAGAUUGUAUAUCGUUGUCACCACCCUUGUGGUAUUAAUCACUGACCUAAAUUUGUUUUUUACGUCUGUUUGAUUUUAUGAUAUUUCAUAUUCAAUAAAUUUCUAGUUUUCUAUA